rnacentral:tRNA from 1 species
GCCGGGAUGGGGUAGCUUGGUCAUCCUAAGGGACUGUGGAUCCCUCGACUCGGGUUCGAAUCCCGGUCCCGGCCCCA